ACCCCUCCCACACUUUGAGCUAACCUCCCCGUACCCAAAAAUACAAUUUUCUAUCAAACAUCUAUCUCCCUCUCGCCUGAUUCCCCUUUCUCGCCCAACUUCCAUGACUAUGACGCUGCCGCCACCGCCGCCAAUUGUUUUGAGGAACAUACUAGCGCCACCACAAGCCAUCCACACCGCGAGCCCCCAGCCUCCAUGAUGGCCGCAGCAGGCCACCAUGCGUGCGCGAGCAGCCGCCGCUGCCGAACUGGCCUGGCCAGAUCUGGGCCCAAGCGUACAUGAGAGCAGUAGCUCCGUGCACCACCGACCACCGCCUCCACCGUACCUCUCCGCUGCAAGCAGGCACCAGCGCCGGAGCCCUGGAGGAACCACCCCGCCGCCGUGGCCCCCCACCGCGUAGACCACUACCUGCCUCCACGAGGUCCCCCAACUCGUGAGCGCGACACUUGACUCCGGGAGAAACAGAUCUCGCCGGGGCGGCUCUGCACGGGUUUUGACUGUCGGAGGUUGGUGGUGAUGGAGAGAGGGAGGAGGUGGAGCCAGCAACAUUGUAGGGCCGGUAACAACACACAUCUUGAGAGACAUGCACAAUUCCUCCGAAUCAUUGUAAUCUUUAACUGUUUAUUCCAUAAGAGCACGUUCUGGAAAAAUUGAUAUGCAACUUCGAACUAUUGGUAUCACAGGUUUUGGUGGUAACACAUGCUCACCUUCAGUUCAAACCAACAACAAUGAUCAUGAACUGGUACCCUGUUUGUUUAUUUGGAGCACACACAGAUGAAUCGUGGUGCACACCAUUGCAUAGUGUCGAAGUAUGGAUUGUAACCUUCCUGUUAUAUACACAAGUGAUUUAUUCUGAACCCUAGUGCCACGGGUGUCUGGCACGAUUCUCUCACCAAUGGUUUCUAGGCCCACUACCUCGCGUCUGCACACGAGUUGCUGCGCUCAGGCCUGACGGUGUUGUGCCUCGCAGGCUACCUAUGUCGGCGCUUAAUCUUGACUGCAGGAGCUCCAGGCUUCCUCUACAUUGGCUUCGGGUUGUCAUACCAUGAAAUUUCCAAGCUCUGCAAAUCAAUUCUGCGCUGAAGUUGUACUGCUCCAUGACAAGUAGCUUCAGGGCAGAUAGAUAUGUACAGAUUACUACAUCAUCGGAGAGUAAGGUAACCCAUUCGCUAUUACCCUAUUUUGUACAUUCCUAUAGAUUUUGAUGUUCAGUUAUUGAAUGGCAUGACAAAUGAUACAACAUAAGGAAGCUAAAAGGUCACAAAGAUCAAAUUCUUUUGAUAUAUAAUAUGCCACAUUGGCAGCAAUGGCUUAUGGGUAGUAUUUCUUAAAACUAGGUAAGUAUUGAAAAGAAAAACUAAUCAGCCAUGGUCUGCUUUUAUUCAGACUGUUCAGCCAUUACAUAGGUCUCCUUUUGA